rnacentral:lncRNA from 1 species
AAUAAAUGGAAAUAUGAUACAUAUAUACAUAAUGAAUAUGGAUUAUCUAGGAUGAUAAGUACAACAUUUGGCUAAGUAUCCCCGAGACAAUAACUUCAUUAUUUGAAGUGCAUUGUUUGACCAGACUCACAAAAAUGAAGAGCUUAUUUGAACAGUGCGCAAAAAGGGCUCUUCAGAUGUAUUGUAUCAAACAAGGAGUCCGCGACUCAAAAAGGAACAAAAUUCUGAGUGGUUUGGAAGCAUUCUCAAUAGUUCUCCUCUUUUUCCGCCUCGGAAGCAUUCUUCAUCCAGGCUCCCAAACGCUUCAUCUCUCGAUACAGAGCUUUGUCUAUAUAUAAAGAUUAAAGAGUCAAGGUACUAAACAUGCAUGACAGAUAUGUCCAGUCAGUAAUAAAAUUAGUUUCUAGCGUUCUUGGAGGAUUUAAAGAUAGGACACUACCGUCUUAAGCUAACCUUAUGGAGACUUUUGUAUAUUUAAUGCAUACUUCCUUUCAUUCUUAGACUGAUCAAGUGAAAGUUGUGAGAUAAAAUAUUUCUCCUGUGUAGACUCUUUAGCAACUAUAACCUUCAAGGUGAACAAUCAACAUCUUUGCUUCUCAAAAGAGGCACAUAGUUGAUUUGCUGCUGUACAAGGAUGGUAAUCUGAAACAAUUAUGCAGCACAAGAUAAGUGCUAAGUCGACCAUUGGUAGCGAAUCUACCAGACUCGGGAGGAUCAAAUUAUGUGAUUUUACAUGUGCAUCAUAGCCAUCAAAGGAAAAUAAAAGUCACCCAAUGGAACCAAAAUUUCACAAAGCUUAGUCAAGUUUUCCUAUAUUGCAUAUCCUCCCCCUGAAACAAAGAAAAUAGUAUUAUAAGCUAUGUAAAAUAUAACAAGGAUAGCGGAUGAAUGAAACAAAAAAAAUUUGCAUCCCACCAAACAACACUAUGUUAUGUAGUAUUUACUAUAAAAGGCCCUCUGCUCUAAAUCCUGUGAGAUAUGGAGUGUGGUGGAAACAUGCUGAACCAACAUGAAUAGGGUCCAAAAUUAGAUGCAUACAUCUUGAAGCACACACUGGAAUUUUCAAAUUGCCAUCAAACCGCCGGAAACUCUUUGUGUCAAGAGAAUUAUACAACAAGACAUGAAAAGGAAUUGUAGGUUCAGACUAAAUAAUUACUAACCUUGGAUUGUAGGUUCAGACCAAAUAACCAAAUAACUGACACACAAAUAUCAGUGGAAUUAACUACAGUAUACUCAACUACUAUAUAAAGAGAUUUCAGAUGCAGAACAACUACAUAGUGCCCAGAUUUGGUAUCUUAUCAAUUGGUCCAAGUUUUUCAUGUGGCAGCGCAUCUCAUUUUUACUCUCGCUGCAACAGCAAAACAGAAGAAUUUAAUUUAAUGCCCAGUCACAAAGUGUAAGCCUGAUUUAAAAGAAUACCAAAAAUAAGAGGAAGGACAAUUACUGCAAUUUUUAUACUUCAAAGUACCACAAAUACACCUCAAACUCGGGUUGGUAGAACAAUAAGAUGAAACUACUGCUAUCCUAGAUUUGAUGCUUGUACAAGUUCAGUUAAAAGUGGUUUAACAAGUGUACAGCCUACCAAACUGAACUUAUUUUUACUGCCUAGUAGAUUAACCAAAACAUGGGGAAUUUCACACCAACCGACGUACUAAUAUACAACAAAAAUAGUAGAAGAAAACAAUGCAAGGACAGAACUUGGCUUCCCCCAGUUAACUCGUUGCAGUUUCAGUGGGUGGUGGCUUCCACUGUAACUCUGAACCUCUAUUACUCUUUGGGGCAACUCCAAAUAUUUCACAACUGUUAAGUCAAUAGUAUGUAUAUCUUUUCAGCUAGCUUGUUAUUUCUCGAUGUUACAAUACAUUUAUGUUGUAUCCUAUCCGCGUGAACGCUAUGGUGCAUAGUGAAGGUAGGCAUAGAUGUACAACAAUGCCAUGCCUAACAAUAUCCACCCUAGUUUCUGAUUUCAUUUUUGUGCUCUAACUUAUCCUUGGGGAUAAAGGAAAAUUUUGUGACUGGGAAAAUGCGCUACUAAGAACUAUCUGAUCAAACUACUUGCCAAGAAUUUAAUCCUCAGCAAGAUGAGAAUUAGAGCAAAGAGUAACAAUUUAUAAAUGUAGUAUUCCAAAGAAUGUAUAAUAAAAAGAGAAGCGCGCUAUAUUUAGUUAGCUCAGAAUGUUCUCAUCAAGUUGUGAUUCUGAACUUCUGAUAGUGAACUCAGCAGACAAGUAAAAAGAGUAAGCAAGUAAGUACCAGAUACGAAGCGAAUGAACGACAAUCUACCCAUCUUGGACUUU